UACGAAGGGGGCUAGCGUUGCUCGGAAUCACUGGGCGUAAAGGGUGCGUAGGCUGGUCUUUAAGUCAGGGGUGAAAUCCUGGAGCUCAACUCCAGAACUGCCUUUGAUACUGAAGAUCUUGAGUUCGGGAGAGGUGAGUGGAACUGCGAGUGUAGAGGUGAAAUUCGUAGAUAUUCGGAAGAACACCAGUGGCGAAGGCGACUUACUGGACGACUCCUGACACUGAGGCACGAAAGCUAGGGGAGCAAACAGG
rnacentral:rRNA from 1 species